UUCUGGUCCUGGUAGUUACGCUUUGCCGCCGGCGCCGCAGUCGCGUGGAGAGGUUACGCGGGCCGCGCGGCUUGGAUCUGUGGUUUGGGGCCGUCCCGGGCGGUCUGUCCGGAGCCGCAAGCCGGCGGGCGCUGGAGGGAGCGGGUGGGGCUGCAGGUGGCGCUUGGAGGACCUCGGAGUUGGAAGAGGCGAUGGCCGCGGGGCCCCUGGCAGGCCGCCCUCGGGACCUUGGAACCUCAAGCCAGAUACUGUUGCCCUCCUAGAACUUGGAAUAGAGCAAUGCAUGAUGGACAGAGGGCUCUCCCAAGAUUCCCGCCUAGAAAGGAAGAAGAGACCUAAAAGCCAAGAGUUGUCACCAACAGAGGCCUUUGCUAGGAAGGAGUUACCCAGCAGCAUGAACCUGAUGAGGCCCACAGUGGAUGGUUGCUGGCGUUCUACCACAGCAGAUGGCUGGGAACUUGGGGACGAGUUGGAGAAGCAGAAGAUACGCAGUGCCAUUUCCGGGCUGACAGGACAUAAACAAGGGCAAGUAGUGACCCGGGUUGGGGACAGGGGAAAUGCUGCAGUUGUGGGAAAAUGCAGCUUCAAUUCAGACUUUUUCUUCACAGAGAUUUCUUGUUCACAGAGAUUUCUUGUUAAAGAGUAUUUCUAUCAAAUUGGCUCAACUCAAAGUGUACAGCAAAUUUUAUUUUAAAAAAUCAUCAGGAAGUCUUGGUGGGGAAGAAACCUUGUAAAGGCAGUCCAUGUGGAAAACCCUUGGGAAACCUGUCGAAGUUGAAUGAGCAUGGUAAAGAUACCAGCCAGAGCGUAUACCUCUCUACACAUGAGAUAAUUAACAUAGGAGAGAAAUUCUAUGGAUGUAAAGAAAGUAGAGAUUUUUUUUAUCUAUAGCUCACCCCUUUCUCAGGUCAUGAGAACUCCUACUAAGGAGAAAUCCUAUGAAUGUAAUGAAUGUGGGAAAACCUUUAAGAAACUUUCA